UACGUAGGCAGCAAGCGUUGUUCGGAGUUACUGGGCGUAAAGAGUAUGUAGGCGGUUGGGUAAGUUUUGGUGUGAAAAUCUCCCGGCUUAACUGGGAGGGUGCGCUAAAGACUGCCUGGCUCGAGUGUGGGAGAGGAAAGCGGAAUUCCUGGUGUAGCGGUGAAAAUGCGUAGAUAUCAGGAGGAAACACCUGCGGUGUAGACGGCUUUUCUGGACCGUAAACUGACGCUGAGACACGAAAAGCGUGGGUAGCAAACAGG
rnacentral:rRNA from 1 species